CCUACGGGAGGCAGCAGUGGGGAAUAUUGCACAAUGGGCGCAAGCCUGAUGCAGCCAUGCCGCGUGUGUGAAGAAGGCCUUCGGGUUGUAAAGCACUUUCAGCGGGGAGGAAGGCGGUGAGGUUAAUAACCUCAUCGAUUGACGUUACCCGCAGAAGAAGCACCGGCUAACUCCGUGCCAGCAGCCGCGGUAAUACGGAGGGUGCAAGCGUUAAUCGGAAUUACUGGGCGUAAAGCGCACGCAGGCGGUCUGUCAAGUCGGAUGUGAAAUCCCCGGGCUCAACCUGGGAACUGCAUUCGAAACUGGAAGGCUGGAGUCUUGUAGAGGGAGGUGGAAUUCCAGGUGUAGCGGUGAAAUGCGUAGAGAUCUGGAGGAAUACCGGUGGCGAAGGCGACUCCCUGGACAAAGACUGACGCUCAGGUGCGAAAGCGUGGGGAGCAAACAGGAUUAGAUACCCGGGUAGUC
rnacentral:rRNA from 1 species